UGUCUUUUCAGUCUUAUUUUGCACAACUCAUCUCUGGGUACAACUCAGCUGUGGCCCUACUGUCCCUGAGGUCACCAGGCACACUCCUCCUCUGAGACUCUGGGCCUACUGGGCAUGUUGUGAAUGUUGGCUGCCCAUCUCUUCAUAAAGAAAAAAAUUCCAUCCACCCUUGGAUCAGGUCCUACCUUCUACCCAGACAUCCUCAUGGCCACUCCAGACCAUCGAGAUUUCUCUCUUGCUCUGAAUUAUUGGAGAACUGCUCCUCGGUCGGUUAAGCCUGGACAGCCUUGAAGUUGCUUUGUGCUGCCGCCCAAGGCUGAUGCUGUUUCUUAAUGACUCAUCUCUUUGUCUUGUUCCCAAACUAGAUUAUAAGCUUCAGGAGGGAAGAGGAUUUGAAUGAACAUAAUGGUCCCUUGGUCAGAGAUACUGAAGGAUAAGGGGCUGAGUGCUUUGUUUUACACUUGCUGAUUCUUAAAAGAACCACAAAAGAGGUUGACUGUGGUCCUGCUCCAUGUAUCUUCACUCUGGGAUCCAGGCUGAGCUGCACGGGCAUUGCUGGGAGUGAGACAAGAGACUUCUCUUGUAGAUCUGUAUGAACCAGACAUUCAUCCUGCAUUGGGGUUGGCCAACUGAUUGAUGCUCAUGGGCCGGAUCUGGCCCACUACUUGUUUUUGUAUGGCUUGUGAGAGAAGAACGGUGUUUAGAUUUGUAAAAGGUUGAAAAAAAUCAAAAGAAGAAUAAUAUUUUGUGAGAUGUGAAACUUACAUGAAAUUGAGAUUGUAGUGUUUUUGUAAAUAAAGUUUUACUUAGA